UUUUCCUCCUUCCUCUCUCCAUGCAUUCCUCUUCUCUCUUUCUCUCUCUCUCUCCCUCUCUCUCCCUCUGUCUCCCUCUCUCUCCUCCUCCCUCCAUUCUUUUCCUGCACACCUUCUGACUCCAGUCCCUUCUCAACCUCCCUUCCCAUGCCCCAAAUAAACUAUAUUCUAUUUCUAGCCUCAGCAAGGGCCCUCCCACUGCACCAUACUGCGCUCUACAAAACAUAAUGUUUUUUAUGAAACAUCACCCUUCUCCGCUCUCUUUCUUCCUUCCUCCCUCCCUUUCUCUAUUUCUUCUCCACUCCCGCCUGACUGUCCAGGGUUGUCAGCUACUCAAAACAUCAGUGAAAGGAAGUGACUUUUGUUGAUGUGAGGAGACAGGAGUAGGCAAGACUGGUGUUCCGCAGGCAAGCUUCUGCCAGGUGCCUUAUGAAUAUCUCUUCAUGGAUCAGUAAAGACAGCCCACCAUGGUUAAGCCCAAGGUCAUUCAUUCAUCAGGUAGAAGCAAGGGGACAGAUUUGGACACACAUCUACAGCUACAGGGUCCCUGGUAUUCCCCUCAGGCUUUGACUUCUUGUACUUUUUGUUUCAGAAGAGAGCUUAAACCAGGAUUUUCUCCCUUCUUGUGUCCCGGACAGGGUCUGGGUCAUCCUUUUUAAACCUUCUGUGUUGCCCUGAGGAGCUGAGCAGUUGCCAGUAAUGUGCCAACUUUGAGUGUCUCCUGGAGACCAGCUGGUACUUAGGAGAGGGGAGGGCUAGGUGGAGCUGGGGCAAGUGACCUUUUUGGUCUGUGUUGGUUUUAUUUCCCUCCUCCCCUACCCCCUAGAAUUUUUUUCUCCCAAGAAUCUAUCUUAACAGACAUCCUUUUAACAGUCUCCAGUGUCCAACUGCCAAGGACUCGGGUAAGGCAGGAGACGGGAAUACACACCCACAAGCCUAACUGCAUCAGGUUGAGCACUGCUGGCCUCCCUCUGUCUAUGUGGGAGUACUGAGGCAGGAUCUGCCCUUCCCCCUUAAACAAUGGUAACACUACUGAACCCUCCAGUGAGAAAACCUACUGCCAUAACCUUCCGCAGGGCCUUGAGAGUCAGGAAUCUGAGCUGUUACCUUGUUGUGUGCCUGCGCUCUUCCACCUAUACCUCCCCUCAAGACAGCUUUUACAGACCCUUUGGCUUCCCCAAGAGUCAAAUGACAUGUUUCUUUCAGAUAUAAAAUAUAUUGUAAUGACGUGGGCUCCUUAGAACAUGACUUGCGGCUCAGGAGCUCCCAGAUGAGGACUGAAGGACAUUCUGUGCUCUACCACCCCCACUACUGUGUACAUGGGGGGCAGCCAGGGUAGAAGGUCGGAGCUGGGAUAGGACAGACAUGGACAGUAACAGAGUGUGCCAAGAAACAGCUGAGCCAGGGCUGAGGAAGGAAAAAUGAAGAAUGAAACAGAAGCAGAGGUGGAGGAUGAUGGGUAGAGAGUUUGAGGGAGUCAGAGAUGAAGAGUGAGGAGUCUUGGUGGAUAUUCAGACACUUAAGAAUCAGGCAACAUUAUUUAGGGAAGGAGAGGGGGCCAGGGUACACAGAAGAACUCUGGCUAGGUAGCCAAGCUUGGAAGGAUCUGGUUUCAGGGUUGGGGUGGGGAGCAGCACACAAUACUGCCUUGGCCAUGGGUUCUUCAGCCUGGAAUCCCACUUGCUUGAGUUCCUGGAUGCCCACCUGACAUCCAAGGAGCUCCCUGGCCUCCAGAGACCCCAGCGUGCUCACCUUGAUGGCCGAGUGGGUGCUGUGGGGCCAGAGCUUACGGGCCCAGCUUGUGUGCUGCUGAGGGUACUGGGAGGAAAAAAGCACCAGGAGCAGGUGACAUGGGGGGAGGGAAGAGUUCUCACUGCAGCCAUCAAUACAUGAGAAAAGCUUCCUUGUAACAACCAGUCAUUCGGGUUGCAGAGUUUCAGGGGAAAGGUCUCCUUGUUCUAGAUGCAGCCAGGCCUGGUGGCCUAGGGCAUUGCUAUAACUGCAGGCCAGUGCUCACCCAAUUGUAGCAUUUUCUACAAUACCCAACAAGUAGAGAGGGUGUGGGGGAAGGAACAAAGGGAGGGUUCUGGGGAGGCCCCCAGCUGUUGUGAGCUGUGCUCUCCCGCCCUGACCAGAGAGCCACUCAAGCCCUCCUUGUCCUUGGCCUGUCCCUCUGUCCUGUCCCUCCCCCACUCUGAUGAUUUCUGCCUCCAGAUCAGCUUAGAAGUUCUGACAUUUUCUUCUCCCCAGCAAGCCUUGUGACCAUAGGUCAGGACUACAUGAGCAUUGAGGAAUGCUCAACAAAUAUUCAGGGAUGGGACAGGUUGAAUCCGACCCAGUCCUGGAAGGAUAGGAUGAUUAAGCCACCACAUGGAGAAGGAGACGAAACUUCAGAGAGGCUGAGACAUUUCUAAGACCACACAGCAAACUGUGAAUUUUAUUCCUGAAGCAUUUGUCGAGAGCAUCAAAGCCAGUGACAAGUUACACUCUGGAGUAGUACUCCUGGAACUUGCCCUAAUUAGUUCUUUGUCUGCACACUAAGAGUCUAUCUCUGGAGCAAUUUUACUCAGUUUGUAGGACUCCUGGUAAAACAAAACAAAACAAAACAAAACAAAAAACAAAAAACCACUUUCUCUGGGAAGCCUUCUCUAGCCCUGGAAGUCAAGGUUAAACAUGUCCACGUGGUCCUGGAUAGAGACACAUUCAUCAUGUUAUCCUAACCCCGACACAUGGGGCUGACAAAUCAGCCUUUUUGGUGUCCUUUGCGAUUGCUUUUGAAGUUAGCAUAUGACUCAAGACCAAUCAGAUGCUUUACUGAUAUGGAGACUAGGAGAGAGACACUAAAAUCUCUCCAUGGAAAUGCUUCUGUUAAGUCUGGGGCCAAUUCCAUUCAUGUAUCCUUUCCCAAUGGGGAGGGACAUGACCUGCCAGAGGGGGCUGGGCAUCUGGGCAGUGAGUGAAGGGCUGGUCAUUGAAGAGUUAAACAAUGACGAAUGUGCUAUACCGAGAAAGAUGCCACGACUAGGGCUCAGGCAGAUUGGCUUGCUGCUUGUAAGCUUGUGUAGGGGUCUUAGAAUUCUGUCUUUGAAAAAGAGGCAAUGCUAUCUACCCGUUGUGGAAGGGGGCAGGCAGCAGGUCACCCUUUCUCUAAGGGCUGUAGGUUUGAGACCACCCUGCCAUCUUGCUUACAGGGCUCAGUGCCCCCACUCUCGGUUUAUGUUCCUUCUUGGUAUCAUUCCCAUAGGGAUGUUUAGUCUUUCCUCGGAGUCACAGUAACACCACUGCAUCUCUGCUGUCCAUGAUAUCUCUUUGCCUUCUCUUCCUUCCACAGUAUUAGGUAUUAAAUGUAGGGCACUGAACAUGCCAGACUGCUUUGAUACAGAGCUCUAUCCCCUACCCACUCCAGUCUCCACUGCGGCAUUUCAUAAAGGCCCUGCAGGAUCCAGAAUGUCUGUUUCUUUCUGCUGGUUUCCUGGAGCUCUCUGUGACUUUCAGCUCAACCAUGACUUGCCCAGCCAGAGGCAAGGUAGCCAGUGAAAGGAGCCACCUUUCCUAGACUGGGGAUAGACUGUCAAAUAGGGAGGAUCAGAGCAUCUCACCAGUGACUCCAGUGAAGUGAAAACUUCAUCUGCUAAAUUCCGACUCUUGGACCUUCCCUGCCAUCACAAGGACCCCUCUAUCAAAACACUUGGACUGCUUUGUAGAUGGUCUUGAGCUUUUGGCCACCUUCCCUGCUACCUGCAGCCACUCUGUCUAGCCUUUACACUCCUGUCCAGGUAUAGGCACCAGGCAUGUGUGGUGUAUGGUGUACGCCAGAGGGUGUGCAGAGAAUGAAGAAAGGGACUUGUUAUACACUGGCCUUCUUCUCCCUGCACCAAAUCAGCUCCUUCCUCUUUAUUUUGCAUCAUGUUCCCAGAGGACACACCUGGACUUUAGAAUCCACCUGGCUUCUGAAAAUUUAAGCCCUGUUUAUUUCCACAUCAUUCUUGGACAUUUCACAGACUAAGUGUUGUCACUAAAGGUUACCGAUCACCAUCUGUUCUUCCAGGAGCUUCUACUUGUCACCCAUCACUGCUGUGGGUGGGGUGGGAGGUGUUCAUUACUAAGGAUGAAUACUUUGGUAGGGGGUGGGCAGGUGCAACCAGGGAGAACAAGCCUGGAGCAAGGGUCCAAAACCCAGAAAAUCUCAUCUUGAGACCAAAGUCUCAUCUUGAGAUCAGGAGUAAAGAUCCCUCCCUCCCUAUUCUUGGCCUGCAAGCUGUGGAGCAUGUAGCCCUAUGGUCAGUUCAUCCCCACCUGCAGUCCUCUUGGCCAGUUUAUAGGUUUAAGCUCCUGGAAUCCCUCUUUAUGCAAACAACGCACUUGCAGCACUGCAGCCCCAGCCAAUGACUGUCUUUGGAAACCCUGCACACUCCUCAGGGUCUAUAAAGCCCUUGUUACCCACCAUCCCAAAUAAGGAGAGCUAUUGUUGUAUGGAAUAUCAUCUAAGAGAUCUGUUUUACUGAAUACUGUCUAGAAGAGCUGUUCACACACACACACACACACACACACACACACACACACACACACAGACACAUGUACACACACGUACACACAACACUCACUUGGCCAGGCAGAGAUCCAGUAAACCCACUCCUUCCAGUUCCCUUUGUUUUGGCAGAAAUGAUGCCUGAAUACCCCAAGGGCAGAAGCACAGUUGGGGCACACACUUUGGGAGAUGAAAGUACCAUGGGGGCAGUGAUAGGGUGUGAGGGACACAGCUGGGGUGGGGGUGGGGGAAGAAGACAAGACCAAGGUAGAGACAGGCUGUAGAAUAAAAGCUAAGAUUCGAAGGGCCUGUGGAACCCAUGCUGACAGUCCUGCUAUGGAUCAGCCUGGAACCAGGGCCUGUGGAAGGUUACCACUCAUCCCUGCAUAAGCCCUUCCCCUAAAGCCCUGAUAUCUACAGGACAUUAUUAAUGAUGCCACCAAUACAGAGGGAGAUAUGUAGUGAAUAAAUCCAUAAAAAAUAAGGCUGCUAGUGAGAAAAAUUUGUUUUAGUGACAUUUAUUUAAGAAGGAAAUAGCUUAUUUUCAUAAUACCUUGUCUUCAGUGUUGUAUUUUUUUUUUUAACGUGUAGGUACUGAUUGGUUUCUAUCAAACUGACACAAACCUAGACACAUCCAAGAAGAGGGAACCAUGAUUCAGAAAAUGUGUGUAUAAGAUUGGCCUGUAGGCAAGCCUCUGGGGGCUUUUUCUUAAUUAGUGAUUGAUUUGGAAAGUCCCCAGCUCAUUGUGGGUGAAGCUACCCUGGGGCAGGUGGUCCUGGGGUAUAUAACAAAGCAGCUGGGAAAGUCAUGAGAAAGUAAGCCAGCAAGCAGCACAACUCUAUGGCCUGUGCUUUAGUUCCAGCCAUCAGGUUCUCACCAUGGUAUCUCUGUCAUAACUAUCUCUCAACCUCUAUUUUCCUGUCUGUACAUGCCAUCAUCAUGCCUAACCUAAUGGGGAUUAAGUACAAGAAUGCACCUGGACACCUUAGUCAAGACAAAGGGUGUGCUCCAUAAGGGACAAGUGUAGGUAAUGAAGUCCCUCCCCCCACCCCCACCCCCAUCUCUGGGAAUGCCACAUGUACUCCCAACUCUCCCAGGACCCUGUAAUCCUAGAACAAGCCACUCUAAUGAAUGGGCAAUGGAGUGCCCAGAUCUCUACCAAGCAGCUGAAGAAAAGUGGAAGACAUCUGUUCACACAGACCUCCCCUUUCCUUCAACUGGGCUGAGUGGGCAGGGGCAACUUCAAGGGCUGGACAUCUAUUCUUCAGGUAAGCAGUUUGAGUCACCAGAAUUCUCUUUGUUGAAAGUCUAACUGGGGUCAUCAGAGUACCAUCUGAGCCAGAGCAGGACUUUCUGGACUGUCAGGGUUCAUUCCUUAGUCACAGCAGGCCUGCUGAUAACUUGAGUCAUUUCAGGUCAAACAUGAAGGAACGAACUCAUUCAUAGGUCAUGUGAUUUCUGUCAGAGGCAGAUCAUUCAAAACGGCUGCCUCUUGGGACUGGGCUUGAGUAUUUUUUAUCUAGGAAGGUAUAAGAGUCAGAUAUCUGACCAGAGAAGAAAUAAUCACAAUAUGGAUUCUAAUAAGCACAAUUGUUCUGCCAAUUUCAAGCCCCACAUUACCAUUUAAUUCCCCAACUAUCUCGUCCAGUUUCUUUUUUACGAACUACAUUUUUACCAGUGAGCAAAUUGUGACGUAGAAGGAUUAAGCAACUUGCCUGGUGACAGAAUGCCUAGGCAGCAUUGCUGUCUACGUUUGCUGUAACUUAGUUAAGCCAGGAGAGCACGGUAGAAGUGAGGAUGUGUUGGGCAUCUGUGGCCAUGGCCACCUGCCUAACACCCAGAAUCCAGUCUCUCUUUUACUGGUGAGCAUUUUAGGAUGAUCACUUGGGGAAAGAUGUGUGUUUCCCACUCAUUUGUAUAGGGUUGACCCUAGUCUAUGACUCCAUCAUGGCCAAAUGGCCCAGGCCUUGAUGAAGACAGUGCGUGACAUCCACUGAUCACAGAGAUGAGAUCAUCCAUGGGCAGAUAAGAGCUCCCUGAAGAAUGUUCCAGUAAAGAAAAGCUAUCUUUCUGUUGGUCUCUAGUCCAGAUGAAUCAAGAGGGUUUUUAAUUUUUCUUUCCAAGAUAGGGUUUCUGUGGGACAAUGGACCUUGCCAGGAAGCUUGGUAAGGUAAAGGGGGUCAGAAUCCCCAGAAGUUUGGAGUACACACUUGAGACAGAUAGUAGGCAGCUCCCUGUUCCCUGCUAGAUUCCUGGCCUGGAACACAUGCCACACUUCCCACAUAAGGAAAUGUGACCUAUGGUCACAUAGGCCCGGAACAGAGUUCCUCAUGCUAAUGAGUUACCUAGUCACCUUGAGGGUGGAGCCAAUAAACUCCUCUUCCCAGAUAUUCCUCCCUGCAAAAGGUAUUUAAUCUCUGGUCCACCCUGAGAAGUUGGUAUGCAUCCAUUUUUCAUGAUGAACAACCAAUAAACAGUUUGGAACCAAGGACUGUCUCUUUCAUCUACCACCACCAUGGGGAACAUAGAGAAGGCCUUCACCUACAGAGCUGUGCUGCCUAAGUCUUCCGUAGAAGGGCUCCCUGCACUUCCAGACAACUGCCACUACCUUUGCCAAUGAGCUAAGCUGGAGCUCCCAGCCCUAGCCCCAGCGCCCCCAAUAGUCCUGGCCUUGUUACUGGCUCGUGGACCCCUGACACUUUGUUCCCAACUUCUCUGUGUGGGUUUUCUAGCCGUGACUAGAUGUCCGGGAGUCAGGGAAUAUUAGCUUUGGCUUUCCUACAUCCCAAGACUGCAUUUUCUUACCCCCGAGGGGUGUCUCUGUGCAUCCCUGUAGCCCAGCAACCUCCCAGAGGUGGUGGUGGGAUAAACACAGUCAAGCUCCCAGUGUUUUGCCUCCCCAGUAGCUGUGCCCAGCGGAGGGACAGAAUGUGGUCCCACAUCUGGCCCCCACAUCUGUAUUAACAUCCCUGGCUGACGUAGACCAGGCUGGCCUUGAGCUCACAGAUCCACAUGCCUGUGUCUCCCAGGUGCUAGGAAUUAAAGGUAUGUGCCCCCACACCCAGCCUGGAACCUAGAGGGUUUGAGGAUCUCUCUGCUACCCUGUAGGGACAACUCUCCUGUGUGGAUAACUUGCAGGAGGAUGAAGCAACUUGGAGACAGAAUCCUAGGAGUCUCACAGUCAUCCCCAGACUUCUCUAUUCUACAUGUCUUUUAUUUUUUUCUUCAUUGGCCCUCAAGUCCUACCUGAAAUACAGAGGUUUCCCCAUUUACAUAGGUUGGAAAGUUUCAAGUUAAACUCUGUCUCUUCCCCUCCAGAGUUUGAUCUCUAUAAUCCCCAACAGGGCUAAUAGAAUCAGGCCAGCUCCCCAUGUCUUCAGCAACAGCUUCCUUCUGAUGCCAUCUCUACUGAAGCCACCUUGCUGGCACUACCUUCACUGGAGGAAUAGCUACGGAAGAUCUAAGUCCUUGGCAUGGAGCCCAUGGGCAGGCAGCCUUCUGUUGUGAUUGCCUAUGAGAUGUCUUCCAAAAGCUCAUGUGUUGAAGGCUUGGGUUCCAUGCAGUAGUGUUCAGAGGAAACUUCAGAGUUCCCACCUGCCUUUGAGAGCUUUCAAAAGCAAAGGAUUGGUCUCAGCCAUUGGAGGUUUCGGCAUCUUCUUCAAGGAACCGUCCUCCUACUGGCUGUCCACACCUCCAUUAAUUAGACAGACUGCUUUCACUCCAGGAAGAACAGCUGCUUCAGCCUAAGGAAGUGUUGCCAAGCAGUGACUUCAAAUAUCCUCCACCGUGGAAAAAGUGCCAAAGAGUCAGUGAGCAGGCUAGGCGACUCAGCUCUGCAGAUUCCUGAAGUCCUACUGGAAUACAGCAAGCAACUGGGGCCGCUUGCUGACAAGGCCUAAGCUCAGAGAAGGCUGUGCACAUGAUAAGCAUGAGAGAAGGCUCCAGGUCUCUAGGGGAAGCUCAGCAGACGCAGAUGGAUCAACUGGCAAAGUCAAACCUUCCCCUACAGCUGUGCUGAACCUGGGUGUGACAUGAUCUCACCUCUGCUCUGCAGGGCCCUAUUGUUCCUUCCAGCCCCCACUGCUCACUUCCCUGUCUUCCCACCUAAUUCUACACUGCCUUAGCCAAGCAAACCUCCUGAGAGAAGUCUGUUGUCCCUGACUCUGAGGCCGUCUGCGCAGCAUGUAACAAAACUGGUUUGAUAACGAUGAUCUGCCACAGGUUGCUUUUUGCUUUCUGGCCAAAACAAUGGUGUGUUUACCUGCUCCACUGAAAGUGCUCAAUUAAUAUUCUGUGAGUGACUUAUCUGCAGGGCCAUUCCAGAACCAGCUGUAUCACAGGGCGUCUGCAGCCAUUCUGCCUGGGAGAAUGAAGUCUUUCUGGCCUCUGGCUCCCAUUCUUGGGAGGGGAGUAUUAAUGAGAACUGACCUCCCAUGGAGACUGUUUAGGAGUGGCUGGUGCUAUUAUCUAUGUUUCAGUGAUUUCCUCCCACAGGUGCCUAACAGGUGAGAACUGACGCUGAACCAGGAUAUUCAGCCCCUCAUUCCCAUUUUCCAGAUGAGGAAAACAGAUCUUAGUGAGAGGAACUAGCUGGACAGUACAUUAUCAGGAAAUCUCUCAAGACCACAUACCUUUGUCAUAACAUUUCAGCUCAACCUUUUCAGAGAUAAAAUGAAAUUUGUGGCCAGAGAAUAUCCUGCCUUUCUUUAUUCAUUAUUCAAGUAUUUGUAGAACUUGAUGUCCAUCUAGAACAUGUGUGGGUUUAAAAGCUAAUACACCCGGGUGAGUUAAUACAUGUGGAGAUUCUCUGUGGUCAAGGGAUAGCAUCUACAGUGAGUGGUUUCAAAUCCCAGGCUUUUGAACUCUAGAUCUUAUUUUUUGUAUCCACAGCACACAUAACUAAUCAAUCACCACAUGACCUGCACUGAGUGAUAAACCAGCCUUCCCCUCUGUCAGUUGGGCUUGAUCCCCCUCAGAUGAAGUCUCCUCUCUCUCCUCACUGCAGCCUCAGAAGUUAAGUCUCUUCAGUUAUGUAGUUUCCUUUUCUUUCCUUGCUUUCUUUCUCAGGCAUGCUGCUUCUUCAUUUCCCAUCCUCCCUGACUCUAUCAUUAGUUAAAAAAUAUGGACCGAGAAGUAAAGCCCCCUCUGGUCUGGCAGAGACAUACCUGAGACUCAGGGCUCACUCUUCACGUUGAAGGGGUGAUGAGUUAGCUGUUGAUACCUUGAGUCUUGACCUAGCCAACUGCCUCUCUGGCCUGGCUGCUGAAGAGCAGCCUUCUGGUUCCUGGGGGGCUGGAGGGGGUGGUUGUGGCCCUCGCUAGACAGUUGCUCUCAGAUGCAGCUGCCUAGAGGGAGUGACAGGCCAGGUCUUGGGCUCCUUGGGAGGGUAGCUGCUCCCAGCCCUACCCAUGCUGAGCGCUGCUUGGAAGAGACUUGCCAUAAACCCUCCCUGCCUCAUUAAACACCCUUACCAGGAAGGAGGAAGUUUAAUCUAGAUCUCUCUGCAGAGGAAAUGAAGCUGAAGUCUGGUAGGGGCAUGGGCAAGGCUGUGCCUGUUUUCUUCUGACUACAGCAACUCCAGCAACUCCAGCCUUCCCAGGUGACACUUGGGUGCAAGCACAAACAACUUUGGAGCGGAUUCCCCCUGCCCCAAAUCAAAUAAUAAAACAAAAACCACUUAAGUGGUGCUAAACCGUCCAGGGUCUGAGUGAGGUUGAGGUAGGUACGGUGAGCCAGCACAUGGGCCUGUGAGGGUGCUGAGCCCACGUAGGGAAAGAGGGGCUCUUGGGUUAAAAAAGAGGGUCAACAGGGAAAGGAGGUGGCAUGGGAGAAAGACUGGGUUUGGGUUGGAGCACAAUGAAUUAUAGAUUAAAACUGGAGGUGGACAGAGGAAGCAGGGAAAAGCACAGUGAAAGAAUAUAUGUCCCCAGGUUCAUUGGGAGGGAGUUAACAUUCCUAGGCUUUGUCACCAACGUAGACUUACAUUUUUUAUAUAUCUCUUUAGGGUACGCUAUUGUCCAGAGGGACUUUUGGUCCUUAUACACUUGGGCCAGCGUGGGGUUGGGGCUUCCCCAUCUGUUAACCCCAAUUUCUCCCCAAAAGGGUGUGAGACCCCCCUUUGGGUUGAGUAUCUUGGGACAUAAGGUACAGCAGCUGGUUUGGAAAUAAAGACAAGUGCCAGGAGAUAGUGGCAGGAAAGAGCAGGGGGCAGUCCCUGUUGGGGAGGGGGACGAAUCUUAGGCCAGCAGAGUAGGGCAGGGUAUGUGUUCAUGUUCUGAAUGUUGUUGCUCCAGACACCUCUGGGACUCAGGGAUGGGGACAGUGGUGGGGAUGCCUUCCUCAAAGCAAAUAAACAAGAAAAGCAUUUAAAAUGGUGGCAAGUUACAAACUUGUUUAGAGGUGACGUAUGAGGCAGCUUCUCUAAUUACAGAGCCUUGAGGGUGCUGUGACAAGUGACCUGCAGGCUUGGUGGCUUCAAACAGGAGAAGCUGUUUCAGAAGGGGAAUACCAGUGAGGUGCCACACUGUGCUUCAGGAAGCAGCAAGGUCAAAGGGAUCCAGUUCCCAAGGAUGUUCUUCAGCUCAGCGUGGCAGGCUGCCACAUUUUGAGGCUUCCCAUUGGUUACAUCCUCCGGUGUGUGAAUGUAGGUUUAACAUACGGAGAUGUUCUUUGAGUGUGGAUUGAGCUAAGAUCUUCCCACGUCACCAGUGCCUUUCCCCCAGGGCAGGGUAGACAUCCUGAAGACCUGAAGAGGAAGCAGAUCAUCUUUAUGGCUGAUUUAGAGCUUUUAAAAAUUGGAGUUUAUGACUAUUGUUCUUUCAUUGCCCAAAGAGUGUUUGCUCUUCCUAGCUUCUUGGCGGCUGGGUCAGCUGGAGUCUUAACCUCCGGCAAUGGAGUCUAACUUACAGUAGGCAGAAGUACAGGGUGGAUGAACUAGAAUUUCUGUCCCAGAAACAGCCUUGAGUAGGAGACUCCAUCAGGGAUGGAGGCCUUAUUGUAGGGCACCUUAGAGAAGGUACAUAUGGCACAAUUUGGAGGUUUACUUCUCUGGUUCUCUCUAGGCACCCUAGUAAUUGGGAGAGGAGGCUGGCCCUUGGGUUUGAGCGAUCCCUAAAGCAUUCAGCUCUCUAUUUAUCAAUAAAACAUAUUUAAUGGAUACCUUCCCUGGAUUAGAAACCAGACUGGGCCUACAAAACACAACAGAAAGGAAAAAUAUACCCAUCAGUUUCCUGAUACAGCUCAGGGGAGGCACUACCAGAUGGUUCUGCUCUUUGUCUUUUGCUUCCUCCCUCCCUCCCCCCUUCCUUCCUUCCCUCCCUCUCUUCUUCUUCUGUCUGACCCUUAGACUUAUUGUAUUUUAUUUCCCCUGUAUCAAUGGUUUCUAUUUCUGAAGUCUCAGUUACUUAUAGUCAACUUGAAGUAUUACAUGAAAACAUACUCAGAGAGAAAGAACAAGAACAAGAGCAGAGGGACAAAGGAAACACAUUUAAAUAUUUUAUUAUAGUGUAUUAUAACUGCUCCUUGUUCUUAGUAUCUGUGUCUGGAGAGGAGCUCUUCUUCCUCAUGCAUUUAUGGGACAAAAAGCCCAAUAAAUAGGGUGUGCUACUCUCCAUGAUUUUAGAUAUCUCUGAUGGUCCUGGA